GUGAUGCGUAUGGGGACGGGCUGACGGUGAUGUAUAUUCCGCGCGGCUGA
rnacentral:snoRNA from 1 species